ensembl:lncRNA
UGGGAUUUCUCACUCGACUUUUAAUGUCAGAUUACACACACAUUUACACAAUAUGCAGUGGUGAUGAUGUAGAUCAAUAAAUUCAUUGUUGUAGCAUACAAUAUUAAAAAUAAAACUGAUUAAUAUGAAACAUUAACAAUGUGCAAAUUAUUUAGUUUUUUCAGGGACAGUGUAAUGAAAAUGUCUUUUGUGCUUCUCCCCCAGAUACGUUGAUGUGGCAGUGCAAAUUGUGCAAAAAAGUGGUGUCAUCACGAGCUCUGUUAUUAAAACACUACAGGAAAACUCCUUACACCACGUCAUCAAGCUCCUCGAGCUCAGCAAACUCCACGCUGCGAUCAGAAUCCUGGCCACUGGACUUUCGCAUACCUGAGUUUAGCUUCGAUGUAGAGCUGCAAUUGACAAAAGGCAACCGGGAAUUCCAAGCCAAUGGAACACUUUUAACC